rnacentral:rRNA from 1 species
UACGGAGGGGGCUAGCGUUACUCGGAAUUACUGGGCGUAAAGCGUGCGUAGGUGGUUCGUUAAGUCUGAUGUGAAAGCCCUGGGCUCAACCUGGGAAUGGCAUUGGAUACUGGCGACCUAGAGUGCGGUAGAGGGUGGCGGAAUUCCCGGUGUAGCAGUGAAAUGCGUAGAUAUCGGGAGGAACAUCCGUGGCGAAGGCGGCCACCUGGACCAGCACUGACACUGAGGCACGAAAGCGUGGGGAGCAAACAGG